CAGGGUUUGGUUGAUCCUGGGCUCUGGGGUUUGGUUGAUCCCGGGCUCCAAGUGAGUGGCUUGGUGCCCGUGGUCUCCUUCUGCCCUCAUCCCCAGCCCAGGAGGAGGCCUUGAGGUGGGGACUGAGAUCAAGGCUUCCCAAGGGCGUGGCACAGCUGAGGGUGGAGCUCCUCUCCACCUCCUUGCCCCCUGCUCAGGUCAGUUCUUCUUCUCCAGGGACAGGCCGGAAGGCAAGGGCCCUUUCUUCAUGUCCUCAGAAGGAAGAAUAAAACUCACUGUAUACGGUCCAGGGGCUCCCGGUGAAGCCAAGGCUGAGCCCGCCAGGGUUUCCGAGGGCUGCG
rnacentral:lncRNA from 1 species